rnacentral:lncRNA from 1 species
AAUUGUUUUGGAAAUAAUAAAUUUUUCAAAGAAUAAGAACACACAGAAUUUUAUACUGGUUCGCUUAGAAAACAAAGCUACUCCAGUGCACCCGGCCAAGGUGAUUUCGCCUUCAAAAAGGACUUAAUCCACUACUCUUGAAAGAUUACACAACGAAUCGUCUAAGAGAAUAAUCUCUUAACCCUCUCAAGUAUACAAACUGCGCAGAGUCACUUGAGGAACAAAAAUAAUUUUAGAAAAAUAGAGUUGUA